GCGAGCGCGCAGUCACGUAGCAGCCCGAGGAUCCGUUCGCUCUGCGCCACGUAGCGCGCCUCCCGAAGGUGAGCGCUUUAAGAUGUAAGCGUGUUACAGAACGGGAAGGAUCCUCCUCUCCUCCCUUGAAUUGCACCGUUCUAGAAACUGACAGAAAACGGGAAGCUGGCACAUUUGAACACGUUAGACUUUUUUGAAAACCAGCGCCACGGCAUGAGAGACAGCAGGGGGCUCAGAGAGCACGACUUUCUCUUGCUUGGCACAGAAGGAACCAGAUUCGGGCAAACCCGACAGGCUGGGAUGCCUCUCUUCACUUUACCUGCGCCCUUCCCUGGGCCUCGCUUCCCACGACUCACCCGCCCCCAUCCGCCCGUGCCUCGAACAGCCCUGCUGUUCCACAAUUUUCAUCUGGUGGUUGAAGACUUUAAACAAUAGUUCAAAGUCCGAGUCCGAGUCCGGGGAGCUAACCCCGCCUCUGCAGCUGGGUGAGGAUGUAUGUUUGGCUCCCUCAUGAGACCUCAGUUAAGGUGUUGGCCGGAGCUACCUCCCCCUGGGUUGAAGGAUCCACGUCUCAGGUGCCUUAUUCAUGUGGUUGCUUCAUUACCACGGUCAACCUCCGGCCAGAGCGGGCGCUACUGCUUCCUACCCUCGUGCUGUGUCACAAAACUUACGUCAGGAACCUCACUUCAUCUCACCGUGUUGGCAGUUUUUCAUCUCCUGUCGUCACGGGAAGGGUGAGUGCUGGAUUUUGAUAAAUAUGGGGGAGACCACUUUCACAUAACUUUGAUAAAAGUAUAUUGUUAGAGUUCUAUUUACUAUUAGCUAUUGUUAAUCUUUUACUGUGUUUAAUGUAUGAAUUAAACUUUAUCCUAGGUGCAUAUGUGUAGGAGAAAGCAUAGUAUACGGAGGGUUCGGUACUAUCCGUGGUUUCAGGCAUCCACUGGGCGUCUCAGAAAAUAUUCCUUGCAGAUAAGGGGGGAACGUAGUUACAAUCUCUCGAGUAAAUGAACACUUAUUCUUCACACCUGGGAGUCUUAGAGGACGAUGAGAGCAGGGACUUAGACCUGCAGGAUCUAAAAGGAGAGCUUCUCUUGGUGGAAGACAAAGUGAAGUUGAGACAUGGCCCUCCACAGCCAGCUGAUCCCAGGAACUGAAUUCCAUCAGCCAGAGCCAGACCCAGAUCCUUCCACCCCAGAAGGCAGGCCGGGGUUCAGUGGUGGGUGGGAGAGCUCCUUUAUACCCGUUUGCAGCAGGCCCUUUAAAAUGGA